UACCCUAUAGCUAGCCUCACAAAUUAAAACAACACGUAAACAUAAAUAACCCCUAAAACCCUACAAAAUAUUAAACAAACCAUUUUCCCCCUUUAGUAUAGGCGAUAGAAAAAGGCACUAGAGCAAUAGAAAAAGUACCGCAAGGGAAAGCUGAAAGAGAAAUGAAAUAACCCAGUAAAGUAUUAGAAAGCAGAGAUUUUAACUCGUACCUUUUGCAUCAUGAUUUAGCUAGCACGCCCAAGCAAAGAGCCCUUCAGUUUGAGCCCCCGAAACUAAGCGAGCUACUCCAAGACAGCCUAUAAAUAGGGCAAACCCGUCUCUGUGGCAAAAGAGUGGGAAGAGCUUUGAGUAGAGGUGAAAAACCUACCGAGCCUAGUUAUAGCUGGUUGCCUGGGACUUGGAUAGAAGUUCAGCCUCUCAGCCCUUUCCCCCACACUUUCACAUGACCCCCUUGACCAGAAGAAACUGAGAGAGUUAAUCAAAGGGGGUACAGCCCCUUUGAUAAAAGACACAACUUUCUUGAAAGGAUAAAGAUCAUAAUUUUAAAUUAUAUGCCAGGUGGGCCUAAAAGCAGCCAUCCUCAUAGAAAGCGUUACAGCUCAAGCGUACCCCCCCCCAUCUUAUACCAAUAACCUAAUCUUACUCCCUCAAAUAUACCAGGCCCUUCCAUGCCCCCAUGGAAAAGAUUAUGCUAAUAUGAGUAAUAAGAGGGCCCUUCCCCCUCUCCCCGCACAAGUGUAACCCGGACCGGACUACCCACCGAGCUUUAACGACCCCAACCAAAGAGUGUAAUGAACAAGCAACCAAAUAGCAAGAAAACCCCUCAGAACUCAACCGUUAACCCCACACUGUUGUGCCCCCAGGGAAAGACAAAAAGAAAGAGAAGGAACUCGGCAAACACACUGAAGCCUCGCCUGUUUACCAAAAACAUCGCCUCUUGCAAUCAUUGAAUAAGAGGUCCCGCCUGCCCUGUGACUAUUAGUUUAACGGCCGCGGUAUUUUGACCGUGCAAAGGUAGCGUAAUCACUUGUCUUUUAAAUGGAGACCUGUAUGAAUGGCAUAACGAGGGCUUAGCUGUCUCCUCUAUCUAGUCAAUGAAAUUGAUCUCCCCGUGCAGAAGCGGGGAUGUAACCAUAAGACGAGAAGACCCUAUGGAGCUUUAGACACCAGAACAGAAUACGUCAACCACCCUUCACACAAGGCAAGAACAAAAUAUACCACUGUUCCAAUGUCUUCGGUUGGGGCGACCACGGGGCAAUAAAAAACCCCCGCGCGGAGUGGAAACACACCUUCUACAACCAAGAGCCCCCGCUCUAAUUAACAGAAUUUCUGACCAUGAAGAUCCGGCAAAGCCGAUCAACGGACCGAGUUACCCUAGGGAUAACAGCGCAAUCCUCUUCUAGAGACCCUAUCGACGAGAGGGUUUACGACCUCGAUGUUGGAUCAGGACAUCCUAAUGGUGCAGCCGCUAUUAAGGGUUUGUUUGUUCAACAAUUAAAGUCCUACGUGAUCUGAGUUCAGACCGGAGUAAUCCAGGUCAGUUUCUAUCUAUGACAUGACCUUUUCUAGUACGCAAGGACCGAGAAGAGGGGGCCCCUACUAAAGAUACGCCCCACCCUUACCUGAUGAAUACAACUAAAAUAGGCAAAAGGGCAUACCCUAACGCCCGAAACAACGGCAC
rnacentral:rRNA from 1 species